UUCAGUUGCUGAGACUUCACAGUUACUCAAAGCUGGGUCUGGGUGUGGUGAUUGCAGUGCCACUCUUGCCUCAGAAAGGCCAUUAAACCUCAGAGCUUCAAGCCUCAUUGCAGCCAAUUUUUCAUGGAAGCAGAUGUUGACAGCUGGGAGGAAUCCUUCUGGGACCCUGAAGGAAGGCUGAGGAAAAUGCCCUUUCAAGAGGUCAUAGGAUUUGGCUUCUAAGCUUGUACGGACAUCGAAACUUCCUCACUGCAAUGAAAAAAAAAAAGAAAAAUGCAAUCUACUAAAAUUUGAUUGAAUGGACCAACUUGCAAGAGCUGCUGAUUUUGAAAAUGAGAUUGAGACUUCACUGGAUAAAGUCAACCAUUGUUAAGACAAGUAGAACAUUGUACAACACAAUAAACUUCACAUUAGGAAUUUCUUCAAAGAUACACCCAUAUUCAAGUCAAGUCUUAACUAUAGUUUAGAUAUAUGAAAUUUAGCACUGAGUAGUGAAGAAACAGGUAGUGACCAAAAAGAGGAAAUAUGUAAAAUAGAAAGAUAGCCUCUUUUUUAAAUAAUAAGUGAGAAAAUUGUUUUUAGCACGAUAAAUAUUUGAACUUGGAGAGAAACAGAAAGAAAUAUUGGCAAAAUAAAAUAAAAAUGAAACAAAUCAAAACGAUACCACAGUGCUAUUACUACCACCAACAAUAACAGAAAGAAAAGUCUCUUAUCUUUCAAGUUUUAAGACAGUGUUAAUAAUCCAUUUUCCCUUCCAUUAUUCAAAACUACUAGAACCUGAUCCUGAAGACCAAGAAGGAAGCAAAACACAAGCAGAGACAUUGAGA